rnacentral:rRNA from 1 species
AUUAAUAAGCGGAGGAAAAGAAACCAACCGGGAUUCCCUUAGUAAGGGCGACUGAAAAGGGAGGAGCCCAGCGCAUAGCCUCGCGGACUUUCCGUCCGUCGAGGGGUGCUGCGUUGCGGUGGAUCCGUCCCGCCGGACUCGCUCACCGCCUAAGUCAUUGCUUGAAAGCAGCCCCGAGGAGGGUGUUAGGCCCGUGUGGCGGCGCCUGUAAGAGGGUGAAGGCGAGUUUGGCGGAGGGGUCUCACCGACGAGUCGGGUUGCCUAGUAUCGCAGCCCUAAGCAGGUGGUAAACUCCAUCUAAGGCUAAAUACGACCACGAAUCCGAUAGCUGACAAGUACCGUGAGGGAAAGCUGAAAAGAACUUUGAAGAGAGAGUUCAAGAGGACGUGAAACCGUUGGAAGGUUAAACGGGUGGAGCCGCGAAGGUCGAGAGAGGGGAUUCCGGCCGCCGUGCACUGAGCCUGAGGCUUCCUUCUUCCCCUUUGCGGGAGCGACCGGGGUGGCGAAAGCCGCCUGGGCGUGGAGGCUUCGGGCACGGGGCUCGGCGGGCUCAUUUCUCCCUCUCUUUGUCGCCGCGACCCGUUGUGGCGGCCCCUAGCCCCCGGACGGACUGGUAGGCGGCGGCUCCGGCCGCCGUCGAUGACCGACCGGGUGUGCGUGCGGGCUGCCGGCGACGGUGAUCGUGUUGGGGGGCCCGCGAGGGCUCCUCGCGGCGUACACGGGAACGGUAAUCCACCCGA